rnacentral:misc_RNA from 1 species
GUUCACCAAGUCAAUCUGACUAUUGGUACACUAGGGAACGCAUUUGUUAAUUGAAAAAUUAUAUUAUUAACCCUAACAUGAAAAUUGAAAUGUCCAAGAGAAAUAAUAGAUUGUUAGAUCGGUGAAGAAUCCUAUGUGUUGAACAAUCUUCUUCCAAUUACUUAACUUAGAGCAUCCUUUGAUAAGUCUAUAAAUUUAUAUCUCCAUACCAAAUCAUCAAACCCAACUCUAUCAUAACAGCCAUUAUACUUAUGGAUCAUCAUUAACCAUUCAGCAGUCACCCAAAUAAGGGUCCUAAUUAGGCAUUCCCAGUGGACAUCUUCAAAGUUGUGGACUGCGUUUAAAACUCAAGCAUUCCCUCAUGAAGCGAAAAUGCAAAUCCCUUUGACGCUACACGCCACCCAGAGUAAUAGCAAAAAGACCUAUCUAAGUCCCUGCCACUUCGCAACAACUUCUGACUACUAUUCCUAAGCCAAAUCGUCACUAAUUGAAAGGUUUGAAUUCUCCAUCUGCGUGGACUAUAAUUCUCUUCAAGGUAAAUGCAGCUCAAGAAAAAGGGAAAAAUGCUUAUGAAGACCAAAACCAAAAUUUGAACGAAGAAAAAAAAAACAAUUCCCAAAAACAAAAAACGCAAGGACUAUAACAAA